UGCUGGUAUAAGAAAUCUCCCCUGUGCAGAGCAUGUCUCAGCAAGCCACUGGGACCAACUCACGCACAGUGAUGCAUGUGCACGGAUGGCUGCCACGGAGCAGAAGCCUUGAUCUCUCCAUCUCUCAGGAGGAAGUUUGCUAAACUUGUACAUUCAUGUUACUUGACUGGGAAAAUGGCUGUGCCAUCACUUUAAGUGGAAAAAGAUGUCCACAGAGUAUGACCCAUUUCUGAAAGGAAAACCACACACACGUACACAGAGGAAGAAAGUGUGCAGAAUGGUGUACGCUAACAUGAUCCCGGCAGGUGAGAGGAAGAAAGUGUGCAGAAUGGGGAACACUAACCUGUUCCUGGCAGGUGAGGGGAAGCAAGUAUGCAGAACUGUGCACGCUAACAUGAUCCCAGCAGGCGAGAGGAAGAAAGUGUGCAGAAUGGUGCACGCCAACAUGAUCCCAGCAGGUGACAGGAAGAAAGUGAGCAGAAUGGUGCAUGCUAAGAUGAUCCCAGCAGGUGAGAGGAAGAAAGUGUGCAGAACGGUGCACACUAACAUGAUCCCAGCAGGGGAGAGGAAGAAAGUGUGCAGAACAGUGCACACUAACAUGAUCCCAGCAGGCGAGAAGAAGAAGGUGAAGUGAGCAGAAUGGUGCAUGCUAAGAUGAUCCUGGCAGGUGAGAGGAAGAAAGUGAGCAGAAUGGUGCAUGCUAAGAUGAUCCCGGCAGGUGAGGGGAAGAAAGUGAGCAGAACGGUGCAUGCUAACAUGAAGCCAGCAGGUGAGGGAAAGGAGAACAGUGCACACUAACACGUUCCCAGCAGCUGAGAGAAAAGUGGACACCAGGGCCAGGAGACGGGGGCCCUCGAGGGGAAUGCAGGGAGGACUCUGGGGCAGGGGCAAAUCACUGUCAAUGUUCAGCUUCAGUGCUGGGUGCAGGAACACUGGCAUGAACCAAGGAGUACAAUGAAUCAAAUUCUGGGCCCCUGUGGCCCAAAAGUAAAUCAAUUAAAUUGGAGGGGCAACUAUUUCUCCAUGUGGAGUUAUAAGUGAUAUCUAUUUUCAUCUUUAAAGUUUUCUACAUUACCAAAAUAGUACCUAAUAAUCACGUUAGUUUUACAAUCAGAAAACGGUGGCAGCAAGCAAUGACAUUAAACUGAACAUUUUUAUUCCAAUUAUUCAAGUUUUUGCUGCACAGUAUUUUCAAAUGUUUUAUUUUCAAAAUGACUAUUACAAAAAAUGUAGUUUCCAGAAUGUCAUGGCUACACCUCAACCUACUCCACUCUUGCAGUGGGGGCAACAGCUUUAGGAGCAGGGACCGUGUGUGGGGGCUGCACCCUUGCAGUGCGUGGCCUGGACACGGCCCAAGCCCUCCGCCGCCCACAGACAACACUUUCACAUUGAUAAAUAUGCAUGCCCAUCAAAUCCUGCUGUAAACCAAAACUAAAAUUCUAAGUCCCCCAGCCAACUGAGUGCAUCCCCUUGCAGCCACCGGGACCCAAAGAAACCUGAAAAACCAGUUCAGGCCAUGAAUGGGAAGGAGGGCUCGGGAUGCCCCAUUAUACCUGCCCCGCUCUGGAAUUUAGACACAACUGACCAACAUUAAAAUAAAAACAGAGAUCCUAGACUGACAAAACAGACUCUCUGUAGCAAUAAGAUACCCAAUUCAACGGGACUCCGGUAUAGCAUCACAUGACACAUAGUAGCCCCGAAGGAAUCAAAGUAUUUUACCUCAAAAUAUAUUUCCUUGACAUAUGUUGAAAUGGCCCUUGCAAAGCUGUCUCUCAUGGGGGAAAUGUGCAUUCUGCAGAGAAUCUGCUUCCCUUAUUAGGCUUUUUCUGGAGACUCUGACACCUUUUAAGGGCCUAUAAGAGACAUGCACAUCUAUUCUCUCUGAAGCCUGCCAUCCGGAGGCUUCAUCAACAUAACAAAAACCUUGGCUUCCACAACCACCCCCGCCCCCACCUUAACUCAAGCUGAGUUCAACUUUUUAGACAAAGCUUAACUCUUU
rnacentral:lncRNA from 1 species